rnacentral:rRNA from 1 species
UACGGGGGGGGCAAGCGUUGUUCGGAAUUACUGGGCGUAAAGGGCUCGUAGGCGGCCAACUAAGUCAGACGUGAAAUGCCCCGGCUUACCCGGGGACCGGCAUCUCAUACUGUCUGGCUUGAGUAUGGGAGAGGAUGAGGGAAUUCCUGGUGUAGCGGUGAAAUGCGUAGAUAUCAGGAGGAACACCGGUGGCGAAAGCGCUCAUCUGGCCCAAUACUGACGCUGAAGCACGAAAGCUAGGGGAGCAAACGGG